UAAGAUGCUGCCCUGUGGCACUCCAAUGGUAAUUGGUAGAGUGGACGAAGUUGUAUCAUUGAUGGUUACAUAUUGGUGUCUGUCACUAAGAUAGGAUCGGAUGUAGUCAAGGGCAAGGCCUCGGCACGUUAGGUGAAAUGAAACGUGCUCAAUCAUUUCAGUCCAGCCUGGAGAUCAACCUCAAGAUCCUCGACUGUGUGAUGAGAACAGACUAUUGUGCUAUAGGCAAUGAAUGUGGCCUCAACUGCACGGUCCAUCACACCCUGUACUCGGGCAGUAGUCACGUGUCGGAAUGGUACGACUUGUAUGUAUGGGAGCGUCGCUUGUGUCCCAAAGUGCAGAACAACAACAUUGAUGCAAUCAUCCCAAAGAGCUGCAAAGCAAGUAACCGGACCAGGCAUGUAAUGUAGUCAUCGCGUGAAUUUGCCUUGGCUAUAGGAACAUCUGGCAGGUGAUUCCAGGUGAAGGCUACAGCAUUUUCAUCCGUUUCGUUAAAAGAUCGUCGAAUACCAGCUUGAAGUUCUCCAAUCAAGGUGGCAGAAACUUCUCCACGAAAGGCAAACGCAAGUGUUCCAGCGACCAAUUGUAGUGUAAAAACCACAACAACCAAGCUAAAGUACUGAAAAAAAGGUGGGCAAAUUAACUAAUUUGUAAAUAUGUAAACAAGAGUACAAGAAUAAAAAAUGGAAUCACUGUAUACUACUAUAUAAUUUGUUUUCAUUUAAAGUAGUAUUGCAUUGAAACUACACCUGCAAUACUAUAUGUAUAUAUAUAUACACAAUGAUGUUUAUUAAAUUAGAAUAUUGAAUUUCAUUGAAAAAAAAAGCAUGUGAUUAAUAAUAAUAUAACCGAUACCAUUUAUUGGUCCCGAUAACGCCUGGCAUUAUCAUCAGGUACAUAGGGAGAAGUAUAAAUUGUUUCAUUUCUUGAGCAUCAUUACAUAUUUCCAUAAAGUUAUUAUCCAAUAUUCUUGAAAUUCCACUAAAUUAAAUGAACUACAAUACUGUACUUAAUUAUUUUUUUAUUUUUUCCACCUAAUGUUUAUUAAAUGUAUAGUACAUAAAUGGUUCUUUAAUGUAAUUACUUAGAAUGUUAAACUGUAUUGUAAUUAAGGUACCCUUCAUUACUUAAAUGUAUUCCUAAUCAUAAUAUUAUUAGCCAUUUGCCAGCAAUUAUUAAUUCACUGUGUCAGGGGACAGGAGGGAAUUCAUUGUGUCGGGGAAAUGCACUCUGGAAGCCAGAGUGCAUUCAUACACAUUUGGCUUUUAUCGAGGUACCCCCUCCAAGGGGGAAUUACUGACCCUGCCCCAGGAUACAACCCCACAACAAGCCGACUAACUCCCGAGUACCUACUCAUUGCUAGAUGAACAAGUGCAUUAAGUGAAAGGAAAUGUGCCCAACCAUUUCUGUGCUGCCCUGGAUUCGCCGAGUACGAAGGCAGAUCUUUCAAAUGAAAGAUUUGCUUUCUUUUGAAAGAAAGCAAAUGCUCAUCUUUCAACAUACUUUCAGUACGCUGAAAGAUGAGCAUUGAAACUGGCCUUGGAAAUUUGUUUAUCCAGCAACAAUUUAAUAAAAUUUAAAACUUCA